rfam:Mus musculus chromosome 9, GRC primary reference assembly.
AUACCUGCUUUAUUUAAAGCAACACUAUUAAAGAAAAAAAUAACAU